GUCUCAAAUCGUUAUGGUCCAGUAGUCUUUCUUCAGUUUGGCUCUCGGCCUGUCCUCCUUGUUUCAUCACCUUCAGCAGCAGAAGAAUGUUUUACCAAAAAUGAUAUCAUCUUUGCUAAUCGCCCUGAUUUUCUCAGUGGCAAGUAUUUCGGGUAUAAUUUUACCAGCCUCGCCUGGUCCUCCUAUGGAGAGCACUGGAGAAAUCUUCGAAGAAUUUCCUCUCUUGAAGUUCUAUCUUCCUAUAGAAUUCAGACACUAUCAAGCAUCCGUUGUGAUGAAAUAAACUACCUGAUUCGUAGACUCUUUCGAGUCUCCAUAGAAAGUUCGGAAAAUAUUGUAGAGAUGAAAUCAUCUCUUUUUAACUUCACCUUCAAUGUGAUAUCAAGAAUGAUUGCAGGAAAACGGUACUAUGGGGAGAAAGUAGAGAUUUCGAAAGAAGCUAAGCUAUUCCAGGAGAUAUCAAAGGAUACAUUAACCACUGUUCCAAAGGCUAAUAUUUUGGAUUUCUUGCCAUUCAUGAGGUGGUUUGGGUUGCAUAGUGUUGAGGAAAAGAUGAUGGAAGUACAGGAGAAGAGGGAUAACUUUAUGAAAAAGGAAAUAGAAGAGCAUCGUCAGUUAAAGACUAGUGGUUCUUUUCCUUCCGCAGAGGUUGUGGCAGGGAAGAAGAAAACUAUCAUGGAGGUCUUGUUAGAUUUACAGAAAACAGACCCCGAAUACUACACAGAUGAAACAAUUAGAAACUUAAUGUUGGUAAGACUAUCAGAAAUCUAUAUGAUUUCUUUUUUGUAUAUGAAAAUCCACUCAGAUGAUUAUUUUCAGCAUGCUUUUGUUGCAUGUGAAAAAAGUCAUCCUAUCACUGGAAUCUUUAUUCUUGAUGACCAUUCAUUAUUUUGCUGGUGUUAUCUUGAGUUAAUACUAUGAUUAAGUUUCCGAUGGCACUUGACAUAUAUAGGUAUACUGCUGAUAAGUUUCUUAAAAUAUACACAGUAUAGGCAGGUGAUGUUGACUAAUUAAUUCUACUUAUGCCUCAUCUUGGAUGUAGAUCUUGAAAUGAAAGCUAUAUUGGAUCUUUCAAAGUCGUUGGCUCUUUAGAGUGUAUGUGCUCUGUCUAUAUCUACUGUUCCUUUAAAUGUUGUGACUAAAUUAUACAAUUUGUUUUCUUACACAUGCAGGUCCUACUCCAAGCUGGAUCAGACACUUCAGCUGUAACACUAGAAUGGGCUUUUUCACACUUACUUGACAAUCUAGAAAUUUUAGAGAAGGCACAGGCUGAAAUUAACAAUCAUGUUGGACAUGACCGCCUAAUUGAUGAAUCCGAUUUGGCUCAACUACCUUACAUCCGAUGCAUCAUCAACGAGACACUGCGGAUGCAUCCAGCAGCCCCUUUACUUGUGCCUCACUUUUCAUCAGAAGAGUGCAAGGUUGCAGGGUAUCGAGUUCCGCGUGGAACAGUUCUAUUAGUAAAUGCAUGGGGCAUACAUCAUGACCCUAAGGUAUGGGAGGAACCAGAAAAAUUCAAUCCUGAUAGAUUCAUAGGCUUUGAAGGUAUCAAAGAGGGCUGCAAAUUUAUCCCGUUUGGAUCAGGAAGGAGGGGUUGCCCAGGUGAGAACCUAGCAUUUCAUGUCAUUGGAUUGGCACUGGGCUCACUUCUUCAAUGCUUUGAGUGGGAAAAGCCUAACAGGGGGUCCAUCGAUAUGAGUGAAGGUACUGGAUUCACACUUUCACCAAAGGUUCAGCCUCUAUUGGCAAAAUGUUCUCCACGACCAAACAUGGUCAAACUUCUUGCCGAAAUCUGAUCCUAAAUAAGAUACUAAUAAUGUACACCAUUACUUCAGCAUGAAUAACUAAGCAUUCUAAGAUCCAACUUUGUUGCUCUAUCAUUGAAAAUGACAAGUGCGAAAACAGAGAGGAAGAAUGGCAAAUAGCAAAGAAAAGUACCGGCAUAAUUUAUGCAUUCAACUAAGCCCUUGGCCGGUAGGAAUUUGAAUUCAUUCUCCAGCGUCCCACCCUCUCAUGGUAAGCUUGUCUUGAAUUAGGUCAAAUGUCUAGUGAUUUCGUACUCUCAUAGAAAAUGCUCCUUUUAUGGUUCAGGUGUUAGCCACAAUCGCAUUCAUUCAGUAAUUAUAUCCCUUCAUUCUGUGGGACCUCGUUUCUUAAUGUGUUUUGUCCAUAUUCCUGCACAGUCAAAGAAAAAAGUUGUCCCCAAUAUCCUGCCCCUGACCAAAAAAAGUAAAAAGAGCAAAUGAUAUUUUGAAGCAAGAAUAUAGCUCGGCAUAUUGACAAGAGGGGCUUGCUCUGAUGGUAAGCAUCCCCCACUUCCAACCGAGAGGUUGUGAGUUCGAGUCUCCCCAAGAGCAAAGGUGGGUAGUUCUUGGAGGGAAGGAUGCNNNNNNNNNNNNNNNNNNNNNNNNNNNNNNNNNNNNNNNNNNNNNNNNNNNNNNNNNNNNNNNNNNNNNNNNNNNNNNNNNNNNNNNNNNNNNNNNNNNNNNNNNNNNNNNNNNNNNNNNNNNNNNNNNNNNNNNNNNNNNNNNNNNNNNNNNNNNNNNNNNNNNNNNNNNNACAGCCUCUCUACCCCAGGGUAGGGGUAAGGUCUGCGUACAUACUACCCUCCCCAGACCCCACUAAGUGGGAUUAUACUGGGUUGUACUUUUUUUUUUAAUAUAGCUCAGCAUAAGGAAUGCGCCAUAUGGCAUAAGUUCCACGAGGGUAACGGUAAUACUACAAAGUGUUCAGUAGUUAAGUGUUAACAGAGCAUAUUGAUUCUUAGACCUUGAAUUAUCAACCCAGCUUUCUUCAAACAGAUAGUAAACAUAUAUCCACAGCACUCACCAUUAUUACCAGACUAUCGAAAAGCCUCUCUAAUAUCAGGUACCAAUUACCAGACUAUGUUGCUAGAACUCUGAAAAUGUUGCAGGGUGCGUGUCGGAUAUUUUUGGAGGAUCCCACACGGGUACGGCAUCAUCUUGGAAAGUCCGCUCAACAUAGUUAUCAGAAGAGAAUCUGUUAUUUAAACAUUGACUCAUCAAUUAGUUAAGAGGAGCAUAAAUUAGCAAUGCAUCUGGGAGCACAAUUACCAUUUUAUUUUAUUGAUAGGUUUAAGUAUACCAAAAGUAGUAGAAAGCAAUUCAGAUUUGAACUCGUGAAACAAUAAUUUGAACUGUAACUUCUAAGAACUAUACCCUCCGCUUAGAGAUGAUUAGCCGAAAAUUUACCUUAGAAAAACUUCAAGUAACUAUUGUGAGGGAAAGACUUAAUCCGCCAGCUUAAGUUCAACAAUAUUGGUCUUGUUUUACACGAUCGCAGUUCUGAUGAAAGACAUAUCUAUAUUUUAAUCUACGACUGACACAAGUUCAUUGAGUUUAACAGUUCAAAAUCCGAAAAAGAACAUGUAUAAAUGCAAGUGAAAUUGAACUGACUUUGAUAAGAAAGUGAUGGACCUUGUUCAUAUUCCAAUCGUUGGAUUUGGCGAUUGACCAAAACAAACAGAUAUUCGAUGCCGACGGCCGGUUUGGCCAAUGAGUUCUCCGCCCUCCGGCUUCUAUUUGUGUUUCUGAUUCAUUGUCUACCUAUUCGAUUUUCCUUUAUUCUCUUCCGUUUCCUAUUGUUGUUUCCAAAAUCCAAACCGAGAGAUUUAGGGGCCAUUUGGCC
rnacentral:lncRNA from 1 species